AUCCAAUUGAUGAGUCCCAAUUAGGAUGAAACGCGCAUCCUGGAU
rnacentral:hammerhead_ribozyme from 1 species